AAUUGCUUCUGGUCAUCCUUCAGAAAUUAUAUCAGCAAUUUCUUCAGGAAUUUCUCCAGGAAGUCGUCUAGGGAUUUCUUCAGAGAUUCUUCUAGAAAAUUCUCCAGGAAUACUUCCAGGAUAUUUUUUCAGGGUUUCCUCCAGACAUUCCUCCAGGGUAUUCUUCGGAGAUUCCUCCAGGGAUUCCUCUACGUAUAUCUCCAGGGAUAUUCCCAGAGAUUCCUCCAGAAAUUCCCCCCAGGGUUCUUGCAGGAAUUCUUGGAAUUUCUCAAGGGAUUUUUUCAGAAAUUUCUCCAACAAUUCCUCCCAAAAUUCCUCUGGAGAUUUCUUCAGGAAUUCUUCCAGGGAUUGCUCCAAGAAAUUUCUCCAGGAAUUUCGGCUGGGUCUUAUCCAAGUAUUCCUCCAGGAAUUACGCCCAGUAUUUGUUCAGAAGUUUUUCCCGGCAACCCUCCGGGAUUCUCGCUAGAGAUUUUCCCAGUAAUGGCUACAAGGAUUCCCCCAGGAAUAUCUUCUGGGAUUUCUCCAAGAAUUUGUAACGAUUUGUAUCAGAAAAAGAUGCUGGCAGCAAAACUCACAGCAUCAUCAGAAAAGAUGAGAUCGGGAGUUACGAGCGUUACGCUGUGGCUCUUCUAGCACGGACUAAAACCGACCAAAAAUUCGCGAACCGUUUGUUUGUUUUGCAAAUUUCCUUUUAAAAUGCAUCCUCAUCAGCUCAUCACCAAAAUUCGCAACUGAUACGCCUUAUCAGUUGCAACAAUAGGCGACAAUGACGCCACCCUCCAAUAGGAGGUUUCUUGCUAAACAAGAUAGAAGAUCAGACUUACUUAAAAUUUGGUCGUUGUGAAAGUUAGAAGGCUGACUACCAAACAGAAAAGUUUUUGACUGUGAAAUCCUAAGAUAGUAAAGUAGUGCUGUGAAGUAGCUGGAGCAAAUACAGGUAUUCCUUCAACGAAGGUGCAAGCGUGCGGGCAAAACUCCACGCCAUUUGCUGCCGAUAAUUUGGCACGUGGACGUAAAGGUACAAAGGAUUAGCGGGAAUCGAAUCCGGUUCCACGUCAGUCGGCAUCCGCCGGUACCCUCCAACGAGUGGCUGUCGACGCUGUCCAGCCAGGAGAAGGCCAUCAAGUUCCUCCAUCGCCAAACCACAAUCAACUUGCGGUAACUGGACCCGAAUCCGGUUCCACGUCAGUCGGCAUCCGCCGGUACCCUCCAACGAGUGGCUGUCGACGCUGUCCAGCCAGGAGAAGGCCAUCAAGUUCCUCCACCGCCAAACCACAAUCAACUUGCGGUAACUGGACCCGAAUCCGGUUCCACGUCGGUCAGCAUCCGCCGGUACCCUCCAACGAGUGGCUGUCGACGCUGUCCAGCCAGGAGAAGGCCACCAGGUUUUCCCACCGCUACGCUACGUCCCGCAGACUGCGAGUCCGUCGGGGAGUAACCGUCCACCCAUCGGCUAGAGCCGGUGAUCUACACCGAACGCCCGUCGACGCGGUCCAGUCGAGUUCGAGGCCCGCCGUUCGACGAACCGUAGUGAAGUAGCCUACAGUGUCAGCCAACAGUUAGGUGACCCAGGUCGCCAUCAAGGUUAGAGCUUUCUUUUUAUCAUUAAUCCUAACGUUUAUAAAAAGUGCGCGCACAGUUCAAACCAAGAAUACGAUAUAGCUAGGACCCUACAAUACAAACAUACUGUAAACAUCUCCCA